UUAACAGGCGUAUACACCUACCCGUAAGUGUGUACAGUUUAACUAGUAUUUUCCGUUAUUCACUCCGUUUUUCGGGGGCUGAAAUGUUUUCGAACGUCUUCGAUAUUUCAUCGUAUUUUCGAAAUCGGAUAUCUGUACAUUUAGGUCCAAAAGACAAUUUGUAAGAUACUUCGAUAUAUUUUGUUUAAAGUAAAUUUACAUUUGAAACCGAUUAUAGCUGGUAAACAAACUCAAAUUCGAAGAUCGUAGAUCAUCAUACAGAGAAAAAAUAUACCAUCUCGGAAAGUGUUAAAAAUUGAACUCCGGAACGUUUUUCCCCGAAAGCGAGUAUAAAAGUAGUA